rnacentral:rRNA from 1 species
GACGAACGCUGGCGGCGUGCUUAACACAUGCAAGUCGAACGAAGUGGCGAACGGGUGAGUAACGCGUAGUCAACCUGCCCUUCAGAGGGGGACAACAGUUGGAAACGACUGCUAAUACCGCAUACUGAAUGAGGGGAUUGCGUCGUAUCAGCUCGGUGGAGGGGUAACGGCCCACCAAGGCGAUGAUCAGUAGCCGGUCGGGGAGGAUGAACGGCACCAUUGGGACUGAGAAACGGCCCAGAAUCCUACGGGAGGCAGCAGUGGGGAAUCUUCCGACAUGGACGAAAGUCUGACGGAGCAACGCCGCGUGAGUGAUGACGGGCUUCGGGUUGUAAAGCUAUGUUAAUCGGGACGCGGUACCGGAAUAGAAAGCCACGGCUAACUACGUGCCAGCAGCCGCGGUAAUUC